UCUCUACUGUCUUUCUCAAAAUGAAGGAUGUGGAUUCAUCUGACUCUGGACUGUAUUUCUGUGGAUAUUAUAUAAGCAGACACCCCGUUAUUGUUAGCGCAACAUAUUUAAAGGUUCAAGAGGAGCUCUGUGAAAUAACAAGUCUGCUGAGUGUGAUUCUGAGCGGAGUGACUGUUGUUCUCACUAAGGUCAUCAUUAGCCUUGUUGUCAAAAUGAGGCGUCACACAGAAUCUGGACUCUGACCUGAAAGAUGAAACACUGAUUUUCCAUCCAUCAACUAAAACAGAAGAAGAAGCUCCUCCUUAUUUGUGCUGUGACUACACUGGCUCAGAUGGCAACACUGAAGAGGCUCAGAGAGGAUGUUACAGAAGGAAUGUUAGAAAUACAAAAUCACUGCAUGUUUUCUUUUCAGAGAGAGAGAGGCUGCUGAGCAGCAUCACAGACGGGGAGUGGGGAGGAAACCCAGUGCUAUCUUUGACUGUACAUGGUC